GUGGGUAGUUGUUUUCUGUCUCUGCACCAGACAGAACUGUUUCAUGAUGGUCUAGUGUUGUUAUUUUGUUCUGAGUUUAAAUAAAUAUGAACAUGGACACUUACCACGCUGCAUAUUGGUCCGAUCCUUCCUUACUCAUCCUCAGACGAAGAGGAGGAGACUCGUUACACAGGAGCCAUCCCUGAGCAGGGGGACAAAGAGGAAUUAGCCAACAUACCACCCCGCCCGUCUGGCCUACACAUCAGGACCAAGACCCAAUGGCUCCCAGAUCUCCAAUUAACUUGUCACUCACUCUACUUUUCCUGCUGGGAGUCUUCAUGGCUGCAUUGGCACUGAGCGCCAUGCUGCAAAAUACCCCAGUGGAAUACAUUGCCUUCACAUCCAGCAGUUCCUCUUAUCCUCUCAAUAAUCCACCCUGUGACAUUGUUGUUUUUCCUGCAGUACAGUUAGUGCUCUGAUCAAGCCAAACAUUAUUAUAUUAUUCAUCUAGUUCAAUAAGAUGACUUCCUCCAGUACAUGGUACACAAAAUCUGCUCUGUUAUGUGGUGUAUAUAGAGGUCAUCAAUAAGUAAUGCUGUUAUGGAUGCAGUGGUGAAAAAGAGUCUGUGGUAAAAGCCGUAUAGCGAGUUGUGUGUCAUUGCCAACAUGUUUGGAAAGACAAAAAGCAGGUUUAUUCGUGACUGACACUCUAGCUAGGGAGCUAUUGG